CUCUUUUUGAUAAGGAAGGGUGGAAACGCUGCUCAUUAAGAAGUAAACGUGCUUUCACCUCAGUCUCCAAAAGUCUCCAGUAACACCAGAAAAUGUCUUUAGGUUUGUUGCUAGUCACUU